AUUGAACGCUGGCGGCAGGCCUAACACAUGCAAGUCGAGCGGCAGCGGAAAGUAGCUUGCUACUUUGCCGGCGAGCGGCGGACGGGUGAGUAAUGUCUGGGAAACUGCCCGAUGGAGGGGGAUAACUACUGGAAACGGUAGCUAAUACCGCAUAACGUCGCAAGACCAAAGAGGGGGACCUUCGGGCCUCUUGCCAUCGGAUGUGCCCAGAUGGGAUUAGCUAGUAGGUGGGGUAACGGCUCACCUAGGCGACGAUCCCUAGCUGGUCUGAGAGGAUGACCAGCCACACUGGAACCGAGACACGGUCCAGACUCCUACGGGAGGCAGCAGUGGGGAAUAUUGCACAAUGGGCGCAAGCCUGAUGCAGCCAUGCCGCGUGUAUGAAGAAGGCCUUCGGGUUGUAAAGUACUUUCAGCGGGGAGGAAGGUGUUGAGGUUAAUAACCUCAGCAAUUGACGUUACCCGCAGAAGAAGCACCGGCUAACUCCGUGCCAGCCGCCGCAGUAA
rnacentral:rRNA from 1 species